AUUGAACGCUGGCGGCAGGCCUAACACAUGCAAGUCGAGCGGAGCGGCGGACGGGUGAGUAAUGCCUAGGAAUCUGCCUGGUAGUGGGGGAUAAGGCCCGGAAACGGGCCCUAUACCCGAUUCCUAUCGGUUGAGCCUAGGUCGGGUUGGCUAGUUGGUGGGGUAAAGGCAUACCAAGGCGACGACCCGUAACUGUCCUGAGAGGAUGAUCAGUCACACUGGAACUGAGACACGGUCCAGACUCCUACGGGAGGCAGCAGUGGGGAAUAUUGGACAAUGGGCGAAAGCCUGAUCCAGCCAUGCCGCGUGUGUGAAGAAGGUCUUCGGAUUGUAAAGCACUUUAAGUUGGGAGGCGUUACCAACAGAAUAAGCACCGGCUAACUUCGUGCCAGCAGCCGCGGUAAUUC
rnacentral:rRNA from 1 species